UACGUAGGGUGCAAGCGUUAAUCGGAAUUACUGGGCGUAAAGCGUGCGCAGGUGGUUUGUUAAGUCUGAUGUGAAAGCCCUGGGCUCAACCUGGGAACUGCAUUGGAUACUGGCUUACUAGAGUGCGGUAGAGGGUGGCGGAAUUCCCGGUGUAGCAGUGAAAUGCGUAGAUAUCGGGAGGAACAUCCGUGGCGAAGGCGGCCACCUGGACCAGCACUGACACUGAGGCACGAAAGCGUGGGGAGCAAACAGG
rnacentral:rRNA from 1 species